rnacentral:rRNA from 1 species
UACAGAGGGGGCGAGCGUUGUUCGGAAUUACUGGGCGUAAAGGGCGCGUAGGCGGCCUCUUAAGUCGAACGUGAAAUCCCCGGGCUCAACCCGGGAACUGCGUCCGAUACUGGGAGGCUUGAAUCCGGGAGAGGGAUGCAGAAUUCCAGGUGUAGCGGUGAAAUGCGUAGAUAUCUGGAGGAAUACCGGUGGCGAAGGCGGCAUCCUGGACCGACAUUGACGCUGAGGAGCGAAAGCUAGGGGAGCAAACGGG